AAAAAUAAUAAUAAUAAUAAAAGCUGUGCGUGUUCAAAUUAAUGGAGACUUAAAAAUUAACCAUAGUAGCGCAUUGACAGGCUAUUGUUAUAAUGUACCAGCACGCCAAGUUGGGGAAGUGAGGGUGGCCUCUGUGUUGUGAUGACUCCACCUUACUUUCUGUCAAAGUUUCUGCCUACUAAAUUUUGUUAGGACAUCCUCCUCAUACCGCACUAUUACCAUGUAUCCGAAGAUGGAGCAGCAGGGGACGAAAGCCCCCACAGGUGUUUGAGCAAGAUAACAUUCGGUUAAUUUUUGAUCUUUGGAACGCUGCUACAUUUAUCAAAAAUGACUACAUACGGGCUAGGCUUACACAGCAUAGGGCUAAACGUGUUGUUUUGCUUUCUCUUACGUCAUGCCGAUUUGUACAAUUUAGACAUACCGCACGCUAUUCCACUCAGUGGUCCGAAUGGAACAUUUUUGGAUAUUCUGUGUUGCUACACAAGCAUCAGCAACAGACAUGGGUAAUAGUUGGCGCACCAGUUGCAAAUUCAAGGUUCAACCAGGCUGUCAGGAAUCCUGGAGCAAUCUACAAGUGCAAAAUUACAGACAAGAAGGACUGUGAACAGAUUCAACUCGGUGUAAUGCUUGACAUGCCCUGUGGCAGACACUGUUCUG